ensembl:lncRNA
AGAGUAAAGAGAGAGAGAGAGAAUGAGGGUAAGAGUAAAGAGAGAGAAUGAGGGUAAGAGUAGAGAGGGAGAGAGAGAAUGAGGGUAAGAGUAGAGAGGGAGAGAGAGAAUGAGGGUAAGAGUAAAGAGGGAGAGAGAGAAUGAGGGUAAGAGUAGAGGGAGAGAGAGAAUGAGGGUAAGAGUAAAGAGAGAGAAUGAGGGUAAGAGUAGAGAGGGAGAGAGAGAAUGAGGGUAAGAGUAGAGAGGGAGAGAGAGAAUGAGGGUAAGAGUAGAGGGAGAGAGAGAAUGGGGGUAAGAGUAGAGAGGGAGAGAGGGAGAGAGAGAAUGAGGGUAAGAGUAGAGUGAGAGAGAGAGAUGAGGGUACGAGUAGAGAGGGAGAGAGAGAUGAGGGUAAGAGUAGAGAGAGAGAGAGAGAGAAUAAGAGUAGAGAGAGAGAGAAUGCGGGUAAGAGUAGAGAGAGAGAGAGAGAGAGAAUGCAGGUAAGAGAGAGAGAGAGAGAGAGAGAAUGCGGGUAAGAGUAGAGAGAGAGAGAGAAUGAGAGUAAGAAGAGAGAGAGAGAGAGAGAGAAUGCGGGUAAGAGUAGAGAGAGAGAGAAUGCGGGUAAGAUGAGAGAGAAUGAGAGUAAGAGUAGAGAGGGAGAGAGAGAAUGAGGGUAAGAGUAGAGAGGGAGAGAGAGAAUGAGGGUAAGAGUAGAGGGAGAGAGAGAAUGAGGGUAAGAGUAAAGAGAGAGAGAAUGAGGGUAAGAGUAGAGAGAGAGAGAAUGAGGGUAAGAGUAGAGAGAGAGAGAGAGAAUGAGUAAGAG